UACGUAGGGGGCGAGCGUUGUCCGGAUUUAUUGGGCGUAAAGCGCGUGUAGGCGGCUUGGUAGGUCUGCUGUGAAAACUCGGGGCUCAACCCCGAGACGUCGGUGGAAACCACCUGGCUAGAGUCCGGAAGAGGAGAGUGGAAUUCCCGGUGUAGCGGUGAAAUUCGUAGAUAUUCGGAAGAACACCAGUGGCGAAGGCGACACACUGGCCCAUUACUGACGCUGAGGCUCGAAAGCGUGGGGAGCAAACAGG
rnacentral:rRNA from 1 species